rnacentral:rRNA from 1 species
UACGAAGGGGGCUAGCGUUGCUCGGAAUGACUGGGCGUAAAGGGCGCGUAGGCGGCUUGCACCGUCAGAUGUGAAAUUCCUGGGCUUAACCUGGGGGCUGCAUUUGAUACGUGUGGGCUUGAGUGCGGAAGAGGGUCGUGGAAUUCCCAGUGUAGAGGUGAAAUUCGUAGAUAUCUGGAGGAACACCGGUGGCGAAGGCGGCAUCCUGGACCAACACUGACGCUGAGUGAGCGAAAGCCAGGGGAGCAAACGGG